AUGAGGAGGAACCGAUAUGAACGAAGUUCAUAUUUAGGAUCGGUUCCGACGACCAGCCGCCGAACGGAUGUGAGGGGGCAUUACAUAUU
rfam:Clostridium sp. CAG:127 genomic scaffold, scf166